CUCUGAAAACCUCUGUUUUUUUGCAUUCAAAUUGUUAUAUCUUUAGUUCUAACUUCAACUUUUAUACAUUUUUGAAAACUGCAAUAGCACGGCAAGUUUUUAAAAUAACUGUAAGUGUUGCCGUUGUUUUUUAAUAAUUGUUUUUGUAUUUUAGGUGAUAUUUUAGAAAAUUGCCCCGCCCACCUAAACGGGGGAGAUAGACCCCCCCCCCUCCCAUAGUAAAAAAUGAUUGUAUUGAACUCCUCUACAGAAUACCGUUAUCAAUUCUUGCCGCCUUAGUUAUCGUACUCUCCUCUAAAAAAACCAACGGCCUAAGGCCGUGUGUGAAUUGGUUAACAGUUAACCCCUGUUAAAUUUUUGACACUAUUGAGAUGAAUAAACAAAAUUUUUGACACUAUUGAGGUGAAUAAAUUCAGCUGUCAAAAAUUUAAUGGGCUCUGGGACCCGUUUAAAUUGAAGUUAAAUUUUUUUGGCGGAUGGUUUUAUUUUUUUUAUAAAAUGAGUAUCAUGGCAGAAAAGAGGCAGAGAAAAAUAUUAAACAACAAGCCAUACACUUACACUAUACUGUAAGUAAAUUAAUAUUAUUAUUUAUAAAUAUUAUUUAUGUACAUAAGAUCAUAUAAUUCAUUUUUUAAGGGACGCACGAUGAGAAAAUUCGGCUUAUAAAGCUGAGAACGAGUACAAGAGGUGAAGAGUUACAUUUUGAUAUCGUCAAGACGUAAAUAAAUAAUAAAUUAUUUCUCGCAUCAACCCAAUGUUUUUUUUUUGGAGCUAGAUUUUUUUUGCUUUUGCUUGCAGCAAACGCCAACGUAGAUGUAGAGUUGUAGGGUGGAAUGCAAAGUAUUCUGAAGUGGCAAAACAACGCUGGAAGAUUCCGUGCAUUUAUGCAGAUUAAUAAUGGCAUAAAGUUUAACUAUACGUCGAUGGUAAGUUUCUCUUCAUUGCAUUUAUAAUUUUAGGCAUUUUUGGCGCACAGGAGAAGGAGCAGGCGAUGACGCACCUGAUGAGCGAAUUGAAAAAAAGGAAUGGCCUGGCAAAUAAUCAUGCCCUAUCAAGAUUUGGUAUUGCAAUAAAAACACCAACAUCAAUGGCACAAACAUUUCCGAAAUGUCAUCCAUUUUAUGUCUCAAAAUAAAACAAAAACUUGGUUUAAAUCAAUUUGAAAUUUAUUGAUUUUCGAGAAUUUUAUGUAAACAAACAAAACGUUAAAACUUAACCCUCGAAAAAAAAUGUAACCCAAUUCACACAGCUAAUUGCCCCUUAAAUUUUUGACAGCUGUAAUUUUUUUUUAUUCACCUCAAUAUUGCCAAAAAUUUAACAGGGGUUAACUAUUUAACCCAAUUAACACACGGCCUAAAGCCUAGUACGCUCCUGAAGCGAAACGAAAGUCUCCAAAGUCAACAGCGGACAUGUUAACGAAAAAAUACCAUCAGAAAUUAUAGCAAAAUAAAAAUAAUAAAAAAAAAUUCAAGAAAAAACAUCCGAAAAUAAGUUUUAAAGCAAAAACAAGACAACUUUAAUUUCGUUAGCAAAAUUUUGUGUGGAAAUUUUCGUUUCGCAUCAGCAGCGUACUAGGCUUAAAGGAAUAAUUCUAUUUGUUUAUUGAAACGUACAUAAUGCCAGAGGCUGUGACAUAACUGUGUGUUACAUUUCGCUUUAUCGUAACAAGAAAACAGGGUUAUCCAAAAAAAAUUAAAUAACACUGCGUUUUAAAAAUAGUAAGUUUUUUAUGGUUUUUAUAGCACUCAUUAUGUGAUCUAAUUUUUUUUUUUCGGAAUUCUAUUGUUUUUUGAGAGUUAUUAUAUAACUCUAUGGGAUUAUACAUGUGGAUGACAAUUUAAUUUAUCAUACUUCAUAUAUACCAACAUUAGAUACAUUCUGCCACAUGUAUCUACUAAAUAUGUAUUUUGUAAAACAAAACACGUAAACAGGUUUCCCCGCAAUUGAAUCGGUGCAUCUUUUCAUAAGGAUAUUUCAAAUGUUGUGAAAUAGCUUCAUCGAUUUUCAUUCAAAUUCAUUCCUCAAAUUUGCAGGCAACAAUAAAACGAAAAUGACAUAGAUACCUAAUUGAAACAUAUUUAUACCCAUGAUAGUCAUUUAAAGAACCAAUUUAUGCUUCUUAAGUAUUAUUUUUUUUGCAACAAAAAAAUAAUUAAAAAAUAUACCUAAGAUUGUUCUUUCUUCAUAAAAAUUCUUACAUAACCACGAAACGAAUACAGGAAAAGAAAAUUUCAAUUUAAAAUCACAAGGCAUUAAAUGGAAGAGAUUUGGUAAAUGAUUUGAAGCAUAAAACAAUUACCAUUGCUGUUGCAUUCCUAGCGAGAAUCGACGGUAGUCGUAUAAGACUGGCCAUAUCGGCAGAAUAUGUAGCACAAUUUAUCAGUUAUCACACGAAAUAAUACAAAAUUUUAAGUUGAAAAAUAAAUAAUUAAUUAACACUUCGAACUUAUUUCUUUUUUGAGCAGCCCAGCCACCUGCGUUAUCACCGCGAAUUUGAUAUUUGAUUUCUUUUCU